rnacentral:misc_RNA from 1 species
AGGCCUAAGUACCUGGUGGUGAAUGCUGACGAGGGAGAGCCAGGCACCUGUAAGGACCGCGAGAUUAUGAGACACGACCCCCACAAGCUGGUGGAGGGGUGUUUGGUGGCCGGCCGAUCUAUGGGGGCCUGUGCUGCCUACAUUUAUAUCAGAGGAGAGUUCUACAAUGAAGCCUCUAAUCUACAGGUUGCCAUUAAUGAGGCCUAUGCUGCGGGUCUGAUUGGUAAGAAUGCCUGUGGGUCAGGCUACGACUUUGAUGUUUAUGUUCAUCGGGGAGCUGGAGCCUAUAUUUGCGGGGAGGAAACAUCUCUGAUCGAGUCGUUAGAGGGUAAGGCCGGUAAGCCCCGCCUCAAACCCCCAUUCCCUGCUGAUGUGGGUGUUUUUGGAUGUCCCACCACAGUGGCUAAUGUUGAAACAGUCGCUGUAGCCCCGGUAAUCUGUAGGCGUGGAGGAGAAUGGUUUGCUGGCUUUGGGAGAGAGAGGAACCGUGGAACCAAGUUAUUCAACAUCUCUGGACAAGUCAACAACCCAGUGACAGUGGAGGAGGAGAUGUCCAUCAGUCUGAAGGAGCUGAUAGAGAGGCACGCGGGUGGGGUCAUCGGGGGCUGGGACAACCUGCUGGGGGUCAUCCCGGGGGGGUCAUCCACACCUAUCAUACCCAAAAGUGUCUGUACUGACGUACUGAUGGACUUUGAUGGACUGGUCCAGGCUCAGACCGCUCUAGGUACAGCCGCUGUGAUAGUCAUGAAUAAGGACGCUGACGUCAUCAGGUGUAUCUCCCGACUGAUUGAGUUCUAUAAACAUGAGAGCUGUGGACAGUGCACCCCUUGUCGUGAAGGAGUUGGAUGGAUGGCCAAGAUCAUGAAACGUUUUGAGACUGGGAACUUCCAGGAAGGAGAGAUCGACAUGCUCUAUGAGAUCAGUAAACAGAUUGAGGGUCACACCAUCUGUGCCCUGGGGGACGGAGCGGCCUGGCCCGUCCAGGGAUUAAUUCGUCACUACAGACCUGAGUUGUUGGAGAGGAUUGAACAGUUCAAACAGAAACAACAGAAGAAGGCGACCGCUUGAUGAUUCAGACCCUGUCAGAUGUGUGGUUCUGAGUGGACGGGGACAUCGAGUGUUUACUUAUAUUAACUCAACAGAAAACUCUCACUGUGUUGUUGAUGUGUAAAUAAUGAUACAGAAAAACAAGUUAUGAAAUAAAUGACAAGAAACCUU